rnacentral:rRNA from 1 species
AUGGCGCCUCCAACUACGUCGCGCCGGCCGGCCACCGGAGUUGUUGCCGGCUGCCGCCCCACCGCUCCUUUCUGUGCCAUCCCGUCUUCCUCAACUGCCAGGAGCGCUGCCAUCGCCUCCCACCGCGCCCUCCUGCUGCUGCCUCAUUCCUCUGCCGCCAUCAAGCUCUGGCCAGUAGGUCAACUCCGGCGCCCCCUGCCUCGCGUCGUCCCACCUCCUCUGUCGCGCCAUUCCUCAAGCUCUCCGGUUGCCUCCUCCGCGAGCUGCCCGUCCAGGAGCGCCACGCCGGCUGCCCCAACCUUGCUCCUCUGCUUCCCGGAUCACGCUGCCGCCUUACCGCCGUCGAGCUGCGCCACAACACUAUGUUCCUCUACCCCGACCUUGCCUCCGGCCAUGACAGCCGAGGGCCACCUCGCGCCCGCGCCUCUUCCUCGCUCCAUUAGGUCGCAAGCAUGCCGCCACUGCCCUCCUGCUUCGCCUUCUCGCCGAAGAUCGGGUCACUGCGUCUUCUUCACCUCCUGCCCGAGUCCCUACAACAGCCCUGGUAGCUGUCGUCCCCUGCCGGCGGUCUCCAAUGUCCCAGUGCACCUCCGCGUGCUGCUACCGUUGACGCCAAGUCGGACGACUAACGAAUGA